UGGAAGGAGGAAGGGGAUCAGAAAAAAAGCCAAUACCUCAUCGGGGUACAAUUAGCACUUGACAAAUUGCCCGUUCUGCACACACUGCACAGUUUGAUAAGUUUUGAAAUCUGCGCACAUCAUGGCAUCAUUACCACAGUCAAGGUAAGGAACAGAUCCAGUCCUUCCUCAAAAGAAGCUUCUUUUUAAAUCCCUCCUGCCUUCCCAAGGCCUCUCCCUCCAUCCCAGGAAACCCCCCCUUCUGCUUCCUGUCACUAUAAACCAAUUUGCAUUUGAUAAAAGUUUUUACAAAUUGAACCAUACAGUAGGCACUGUUUUUCGACUGGCUUCUUCUACUCAAACUAUUUUAGAGUUUCCUCCGUGUUGUCGCAUUAUCAAUAAUACAUCAUUCUUUAUGUAUCUCUGGGUAAUAUUCCCUUGAAUGCACAUGCUCAUUGUUUUUCUUUCACCUGCUGAUGAACUUGGAGUUGCUUCCAUUUGGGGGAUAUUCCUAAUAAAACUUCUGUGAAAGUAAGUUCAUAUACAAGUUUUUAUAUGGACACAUGCUUUCUUUUCUCUUGAGUAAAAUACCUAGCAGUUGAGUGGCCAGAUCAUAUAGUAGGUUUUUCUUUAACUUUUUAAG
rnacentral:lncRNA from 1 species